rnacentral:rRNA from 1 species
ACAUACAAGUAGUAGGAAGGAAACUGGACCGACCUUCGGGAGCUUGUACAGGUGCUGCAUGGCUGUCGUCAGCUCGUGUCGUGAGAUGUUCGGUUAAGUACCGCUAACGAGCGCAACCCUCGCUGUGUGUUACAAGUGUCACACGGAACUGCCGGUCAUAAACCGGAGGAAGUGGGAUGACGUCAAGUCAGCAUGGCCUUUAUAUCCUGGGCUACACACACGCUACAAUGGGAAGGGACAAUAGGUUGCGAAGCCGCGAGGCGGAGCCAAUCCAGCAAAACUUCCCUCAGUUCAGAUUGCAGGCUGCAACCCGCCUGCAUGAAGUUGGAGUUGCUAGUAAACGCAGGUCAGCCAUACUGCGUUGAAUACGUUCCCGGGGCUU